rnacentral:rRNA from 1 species
UACGUAGGAUCCAAGCGUUGUCCGGAUUUACUGGGUGUAAAGGGUGCGCAGGCGGACUGGUAAGUCAGUAGUGAAAUCUCGGCGCUCAACGCCGAAACGUCUUUUGAUACUACCAGUCUUGAAUAAGCGAGAGAUCCGUGGAAUUCCGAGUGUAGCAGUGAAAUGUGUAGAUAUUCGGAAGAACACCAGAGGCGAAGGCAGCGGGUUGGCGCUUUAUUGACGCUCAGGCACGAAAGCAUGGGGAUCAAACAGG